UUUCCAGGCACGUAGUGUAAAUAUUGCUUAAAAAUUUAAUCACAGAAAACUGGUUUGAGUACAUAACUCUGAAAUUGCUUAAUAGUCCUUGCGCGCCCCCUCCCGCACCGACUGGGAGAGCAAGGAUCGAGAAUUCGGUGAUCGCUGUGGCUGACUGACACUCUCCCAGCGCCCUGGGAUCGGACGCGCCCUGAAGCCAUGUGUGGUCCCGGGCGGAAGUUACGGGGUCGCUGCUGCUCUGACUCCCGAAGUAGCGAAGCUGCAGAUGCAAAGAAUAUAAUGCCAGUUCCUUUGACUGAGAAAUGUUGGUGUCCAAGAAAACAAGGGAUUGAACUAGGGUCCUUGCACUUGCGCAGCAGGCAACGAAACCACUGAACUAAAAUCUCUGGCCCAAGAUUACUUUUUUGGAAAGUGAGAGGUGAAUUUGAAGAAAACAAGCAAGAAGGCAGAAAAGCAAGAAAGAAGAAAGGAAGGAAGGAAAGGAGGGAGACAGGGAGGGAGGGAGAGAACAAAGGAAAGGAAGAAUAUUGGCCUAGACUUCUAGAAAUCAAACCAAUUCCCAUAAAUGCAAUGAAAAACUUUUCAUAAAUGUUUUUCAGAAGCAUGCAUUUUGUCAGUUUCAAUAAUUCUUAUUUACAUAUUUUCAUUAAAUAAAGAUAUGGAGUAUCAUAAAUUUGUCUGCCAUCCAUGCAGUAUUAACACACUAGUUUCUGUUAUUUCAAGGAAUAUGAACAUACCAAAAUGAUUUCUAUUCAGCUGGGCCAAUUCAAAAUGAUAUUACCUGUUUGUUAUUUUCCUGUUGAACAUUUUAGCACUGUUUAGAGACAGUGCAUCCCAAAUCCUUUUUGAAAUUAACUUGUCAUUAUAUUGCCAGCACAAGUGCCAAUGAAAAGCAAUAAACUGAUUAAGUUCCAUGAGAAGGGGAUCUUGUUUGUUUUACUCUCUAUCCCCAGGGCCUAAAAUAGUGUUUGGCAUACGAUAGGCAUUCAAUAUAUUUGU